rnacentral:rRNA from 1 species
CGCAUCUGUGCAUGCAGCAUAUCAAUAAGCGGAGGAAAAGAAACUAACAAGGAUUCCCCUAGUAACGGCGAGUGAAGCGGGAAGAGCUCAAAUUUGAAAUCUUAAAGGGUUUCCCUUUACGAAUUGUAGUUUAAAGAAGUGUUUUCUGUUGAGGUUUUGGUAAAAGUUCUUUGGAAUAGGACAUCAUAGAGGGUGAGAAUCCCGUAUUUGACCUUUACUUUCCAACUUUGUGAUACACUUUCAAAGAGUCGGAUUGUUUGGGAAUGCAGUCCAAAAUGGGUGGUAAAUUUCAUCUAAAGCUAAAUAUUGGCGAGAGACCGAUAGCGAACAAGUACCGUGAGGGAAAGAUGAAAAGAACUUUGAAAAGAGAGUUAAACAGUACGUGAAAUCGUCAAAAGGGAAGCGUUUGACACCAGUGUUGUUUUUCUGAAAAUCAAUUAAAGAACUGUUUAUGCUAAGUUGUUUAGACCUUAUCAGCUAACUGUUUAGUUUUGAGCUUUUCUUUAAUGCACUUUUCAGUUAACAAGUCAACAUCAAUUUCUUUUGCUGUAAAAAAGCUUGAGGAAGGUGGCUUGAGAUUCGUCUUAAGUGUUUAUAGCCUCUUGCCUAUGCAGUCGGAGAGAUUGAGGUCUGCAGCGUAGAUCCUUCGGGGCUAAAUGCAUUUGUGCUAAGUUAUAGCAUUUUCAUAGACAACUUGUUGACUAUGAUUUGUCUUGUAGCUUACUCGCUUAUGUUAUUUUACCUACGCUUAGGAUGUUGACAGCAGUAUAGACUG